GAUGAACGCUGGCGGCGUGCCUAAUACAUGCAAGUCGAGCGAACAGAUAAGGAGCUUGCUCCUUUGACGUUAGCGGCGGACGGGUGAGUAACACGUGGGUAACCUACCUAUAAGACUGGGAUAACUUCGGGAAACCGGAGCUAAUACCGGAUAAUAUUUCGAACCGCAUGGUUCGAUAGUGAAAGAUGGUUUUGCUAUCACUUAUAGAUGGACCCGCGCCGUAUUAGCUAGUUGGUAAGGUAACGGCUUACCAAGGCGACGAUGCGUAGCCGACCUGAGAGGGUGAUCGGCCACACUGGAAGUGGGACACGGACCAGACGCCUACGGGAGGCAGCAGUAGGGAAUCGUCCGCAAUGGGCGAAAGCAUGACGGAGCAACGCCGCGUGAGUGAUGAAGGUCUUGGGAUCGUAAAACUCUGUUAUUAGGGAAGAACAUACGUGUAAGUAACUGUGCACGUCUUGACGGUACCUAAUCAGAAAGCCACGGCUAACUACGUG
rnacentral:rRNA from 1 species